AUACAACGAAAAUUAAUAUAUAUUUGUACGCGCACAAGCAAGCGCGACGACGUCACGGCGACCGGCCUGCGCCGCCGCCGCCUUCACCGCGCCCCACCGUGUCCUUCUUCCCCCCUCCGGGCCCCCGCGGAGUCGAACUUUGAGCGCGAGACUCGACGCACGUUACUUACUUAUUUUAAAAUAAUUGUCUGUUUAAUACGCAAUAAAGUUUUUAUUA